AGGAACGAGAUGGAAAGACACUUCUUGGAGCUACUGCAGUUUAAUAUCAAUGUUCCUGCCAGUGUUUACGCCAAAUACUACUUCGAUCUUCGCUCCCUAGCAGAUGACAAUAACCUGAGCUUUCUGCUGGAGCCUCUCAGUAAAGAGAGAGCACAGAAACUGGAGGCUAUCUCUCGGCUGUGUGAAGACAAAUACAAAGACUUGUCAAAAGCUGCUAUGAGACGCUCUUUCAGUGCUGAUAACUUAGUUGGUAUCCGCCGAUCUAAUGCCAUCCUCUCCUGAGGAGAGAGAAAGGUGCAGCACCAUGAACCAGCAUCCAUACAAAUCGGAGGAGUACAGCCACUCCAUGCACACAAGCCAGCGGUGAUGGUGUCUUCCAGCAAGAGGAGGAGAGGAGGGUCGACUAGCCAAGGGAACCCAGAGCUUGAGAAGCAUAAUUGGUGCAAAAGACAAGACCUUCGUCAAAUCAACUCUUCUCCUUCUAAUGUAUCCAGAGGUGCAAAACCAGACUUCUUCCCUUCUCUCCCCCACAGAUGUUUGCUUACUAUGUAGGCCUAUAGCUGUGAACUCUUGAGGUUUUUAAUAAUAAGUAGUUCUAAAUUUUAGCAUUUAAACACUAACCACAUGACUAUAGUUACACUGUUCUUCCCUCCUCUCCCCUGUCAUCCAGAAUCUCACUGCAUUUGUAUUUCAGGUCAAUGCAGUGUUAACAAAACAAAACAAAACAUGGGACUCUUAAAGUAUAAAGCCACUCUGGAGCUGAAAACAGUAGCAUAGAGGCAUAUUGAAGGCUUUUCCCUGGUUUGGCUACUAAAAGCUGCUAUUAUUGGUGAUCUGUUCAUAACCAAGGAGCUGCCCCACAGGAAGGAAUUCCAACUCUGCACCCCCAACUUCACUCCAGUAGAGAUUGUCAAAAGACUUUGAAUGUUUUGACUGGGGGCAAAUAUAUGGUUUUAUGUAUUAUUAAAAUGUAUAGGGUCCAUGCUGCAUUUCUUGUGAAUUAUGGUGCUUCUCUCAUUUUCUAAUACUUAUAUUGCUCCAAAAGAGAUGCAAUCUGUAUAUUUUUCUGAGGCAUUGAAUGAGAAAGCUGGUCUGGAAACAUCAUCACUAUCCCAAACAGUGUAGCAAUCUAGUGGUGAAUGGCAUGUGUGCAGUGCUGCUUCUCUGAGUUCUACUGCAGAUCUCUUGUGCUAUAUACGGUGGAGUUCCUAAAGCUGAUACUGUGCAUCCAUCUGGCUCUCCUUGGGGUUUUGUUUCCUGGGAGGGAUUUACAUUCAUAAUGAGACAGGAAUGAGUUUGAGAAUCCUGCGCUACCUAACAAGGUAGAUUGAAAAAUAUGUUCAACCGAGAAUUAUCAAAAAGCUUUCUGUAAACCCCAUUUUUCUUUUUUUUUUUCUUUUUUUUUUUUUUUCUAAGUCAAUUUUAUCUUGUGCAACUGCUCUAGAGGCUUGGGUUUUGCUCUGAGACUUUGGAAUGGAGCUUACUUUCAGGCUCUGAAACUCAACUCUAAACAGGAUAAGUAUUAUUAGACUCUUCCUGUUAAAAGUCUUUGUAGUAUCUUCCCUUCUUGGAUCCAAAUAGAUUCUAGGCAGUUUGUCCUAGGAGCAGAUCUCCCUCCAAAUGGCACAGGUUUUGUGCACUUCCUCUUCCAGCCAAGGCCCAGAAACUUACACUGAAUAGCGAGUCCAUGUGCCCUUGGGAGCAGGGCUGUCUGAGUGUAACCAGAAGUUUGGCUGCACUCAGUUGUUAAAAAGAUGCAUAUAGCCUUUUGCUGUAUGCAAAUAUGCCAGCCCCUGGCUCCCAAAUCCAUGGAACUUGGCACUUCAGGUAUUGAUCACAAUUCAAUUUUGAAAAUAAUGCUACAUCUUCAGGUGGUUUUCCUUUCUCAUGUUUGUAUUAAAAUAAAAGCUAAUAAACUCUAUUUUAAUUAAA